rnacentral:rRNA from 1 species
AUUGAACGCUGGCGGCAGGCCUAACACAUGCAAGUCGAACGAGUGGCGGACGGGUGAGUAAUGUCUGGGAAACUGCCUGAUGGAGGGGGAUAACUACUGGAAACGUUAGCUCAUACCGCAUACCAUCGGAUGUGCCCAGAUGGGAUUAGCUCGUAGGUGGGGUAACUGCUCACCUAGGAGACGAUCCCUAGCUGGUCUGAGAGGAUGACCAGCCACACUGGAACUGAGACAAGGUCCAGACUCCUACGGGAGGCAGCAGUGGGGAAUAUGGCACAAUGGGCGCAAGCCUGAUGCAGCCAGGCCGCGUGUAUGAAGAAGGCCUUCGGGUUGUAAAGUACUUUCAGCGGGGAGGCGUUACCCGCAGAAGAAGCACCGGCUAACUCCGUGCCAGCAGCCGCGGUAAUUC